rnacentral:rRNA from 1 species
UGCAAGUCGAACGCAGUAGCAAUACUGAGUGGCAAACGGGUGAGUAUAAUGUGGGAAUCUGCCUUUUGGUUUGGAAUAACACGGGGAAACUUGUGCUAAUACCGAAUAAGCCUUUACAGGGAAAGUUUUAAUGCCGAAAGAUGAGCCCGCACUUGAUUAGCUAGUUGGUAAGGUAAAAGCUUACCAAGGCAACGAUCAAUAGCUGUUCUUAGAGGAAGACCAGCCACGUUGGGACUGAGACACGGCCCAGACUCCUACGGGAGGCAGCAGUGGGGAAUCUUGCACAAUGGGGGAAACCCUGAUGCAGCGAUGCCGCGUGAGUGAAGAAGGCCCUUGGGUUGUAAAACUCUUUCGUCGGGGAAGAAAAUGACUGUACCCGAAUAAGAAGGUCCGGCUAACUUCGUGCCAGCAGCCGCGGUAAUACGAAGGGACCUAGCGUAGUUCGGAAUUACUGGGCUUAAAGAGCUCGUAGGUGGUUAAAAUAGUUGAUGGUGAAAUCCCAAGGCUCAACCUUGGAACUGCCAUCAAAACUUUUUAGCUAGAGUGUGAUAGAGGUAAGUGGAAUUUCUAGUGUAGAGGUGAAAUUCGUAGAUAUUAGAAAGAACACCAAAUGCGAAGGCAACUUACUGGGUCACUACUGACACUGAGGAGCGAAAGCACGGGUAGCGAAGAGGAUUAGAUACCCUCGUAGUCCAUGCCGUAAACGAUGUGUGCUAGACGUUGGAAAUAUAUUUUUCAGUGUCGCAGCGAAAGCAUUAAGCACACCGCCUGGGGAGUACGACCGCAAGGUUAAAACUCAAAUGAAUUGACGGGGACCCGCACAAGCAGUGGAGCAUGUGGUUUAAUUCGAAGAUACGCGCAGAACCUUACCAACGCUUGACAUGUUCGUCGCGAAACUAAGAGAUUAGUUUCUUCAGUUCGGCUGGACGAAACACAGGUGCUGCAUGGCUGUCGUCAGCUCGUG